rnacentral:rRNA from 1 species
AAAGCAGGCUCACGCUUGAAUACAUUAGCAUGGAAUAAUGAAAUAGGACGUUUGAUUCUAUUUUGUUGGUUUCUAGGAUCGACGUAAUGAUUAAUAGGGAUAGUUGGGGGCAUUAGUAUUCAAUUGUCAGAGGUGAAAUUCUUGGAUUUAUUGAAGACUAACUACUGCGAAAGCAUUUGCCAAGGAUGUUUUCAUUAAUCAAGAACGAAGGUUAGGGGAUCGAAGACGAUCAGAUACCGUCGUAGUCUUAACCAUAAACUAUGCCGACUAGGGAUCGGAUGAUGUUAAUUUUUUUAAUGACUCAUUCGGCGCCUUACGG